rnacentral:rRNA from 1 species
UCACCUGUUUAUCAAAAACAUGUCUUAUUGAAAAUUAAUUUUAAGUCAAAUCUGCUCAAUGAUUAUUAAAUAGCUGCAGUAUAUAUAACUGUACAAAGGUAGCAUAAUAAUUAGUUUUUUAAUUGAAAACUAGAAUGAAUGAUUUAAUGAAAUAUAAACUUUAUUAAAUUUAAUAAAUAAAUUUAUUAUUUAAAUAAAAAAAUUUAAAUAAAAUUUAAAGACAAGAAGACCCUAUAGAAUUUUUAUAAAUUUUAAUUUUAAUAAAAUUUAAUUUAUUUUAGUUGGGGAAAUUUUAAAAUUUAAAUAAUUUUUUUUUAUAAAAAACAUUUAUUUUUGAAUAAUUUUUAUUUUUUUAAAAAAAAAAAUAAAAUUACCUUAGGGAUAACAGCAUAAUUUUUUUAUAAAGUUCAAAUUUAUAAUAAAGUUUAUGACCUCG